AGGUGGGGAAUAUUGGGCAAUGGAGGAAACUCUGACCCAGCGACGCCGCGUGAGGGAUGAAGGCCUUCGGGUUGUAAACCUCUUUCAGUAGGGAAGAAGCGAAAGUGACGGUACCUACAGAAGAAGCACCGGCUAACUAUGUGCCAGCAGCCGCGGUAAUACAUAGGGUGCAAGCGUUGUCCGGAAUUAUUGGGCGUAAAGAGCUCGUAGGUGGUUCGAUACGUCGGAUGUGAAAAUCAGGGGCUCAACCCCUGACCUGCAUCCGAUACGGUCGAGCUAGAGUUUGGUAGGGGAGACUGGAAUUCCUGGUGUAGCGGUGGAAUGCGCAGAUAUCAGGAGGAACACCGAUGGCGAAGGCAGGUCUCUGGGCCAAUACUGACACUGAGGAGCGAAAGCGUGGGGAGCGAA
rnacentral:rRNA from 1 species